GCCAGCAUGGCGCAGUGGUAACGCGUCGCACUUGUAUCAAGCAAACGAGCAAAUGCGAAGAUCAUGAGUUCAAUUCUCAUUGUUGGCA